CCUCUCUCUGUCCCUCCCCUGCUCAUACUCUUUCACUUUCUCUUUCUCUCUCUCAAAAAAAUAAAUAAAUAAAAUAUUAAAAAAAAAAAAAAGAAAGAAUUUGGAUUGUGGGGAGGGGGUGUCCACAGGGAUUCCCAAGGGUCUACUCAGGACCUGGAGUGGACCAUAACAGGGCAACUAACUGGGCUGGCAAUUUCCACUCCCCACCCCCUGCCUUGCCUUCAUUUUCUGACCACUUCCAGUCUAGAGCCCUCUCAUAUUUCUAUAUGUGGGAGGCCCAUCCCUCUGGGGAUGUCCAGUUUCCUAGUGUCAGGAUGUUGGUAUCCAGGAGUGGGAGCUAAGUGGAUGUAUGCAUCUCCCAAAGGCCUGGGUAUCUCUCAAAGUUUGUCAGUCACAGGGAAGGAGUUAUUCUGAACUAUCUACUAGAAAACCCCAACCUGACCUGGCAGUGGGGGCUGUACAGAAUCACCAAAAAUGAGGAGCAAGGAAGGCCUAAGGAUAACCUAGUGGCUGCAUGUCAGAACACCUAGGUUAGUGCCCCCUCUCCUUACUCUCCUGUGAUCCAAGUUAUUCACUUAAUCUUUUUUUUUUUUAAUUUUUAAGUUUAUUUACCUAUUUUGAGAGAGAGAGGGAGAGAGAAUCCCAAGCAGGCUCCAUGCUGUUAGCACAGAGCCUGAUGUGGGGCUUGAACUCACAAACCAUGAGAUCAUGACCUGAGCUGAAACCAAGAGUUGGAUGCUUAACUGACUGAGCCACCAGGCGCCCCCACUUAAUUAUUUAAACUCCUUGUUGCUUCAUCUAUAGAUCAAGAAUGAUAAUGUUUACCUCCCUAGAUUUUAGCGAGAUCAAUUAAAGUGAUAUGUGAAAGGAAACACUCUGAAAACUGCCAAAUUUAAAUAAAUAUUAUUUUAAGGUCUGGAAAAGGUCUGACUGCUGGAGAGAGGGAGAUGCUAUGAAUCCAGCCCGGUCCUUGGCUUAGGAACACUACUGGUUUGUUGACUAGAGGGGUGUGAUUCUUUGCCCUGUGGUCAUUGGGGUGGGGAGCUAUAAAUCAAAAUCAAACACAGGGCCCCUUACGGAGGGUAGCACAGAGUAUCCCUGUCAUCUUCCCCACCUCCAGUCCCAGCUUCUGACCUCUAGUUCUCCCAGCCAACACCCCACCCUGACCCUCCACCCUUCUCCCCAGUCAGCACCUUCACUGCCGUCAUACUAGAUCACAGACUGUACAAUUUCACCCUCCAUACCCCCCUUUUCGGCACCUCCUCCAACCCGAGCCUUCUGUGGGAGACAGAUGGGGUGUCUGCAAUGGAAAAGGCUCUGGGCUCUACGCCGCCUUGGGUGGGCAGCCCCCCUCCCAUCUCCCCAACUACUCCUGCUCCUUACCUAAGACACUCAGAUUCACCCUGGGCAGCUUUGGGAGCUGCUGAGGAUUCCAACACUCUUCCCUUCUCAGACUCAGCCCAGAAGCAGAGCCAGAAUGACAUCUUUCUCUGAGACCCAGCCCCCAGCCCCUCUUCAUGGAAUGCCAACACAAAGGAGGAAAUAGGUUAGGAAAUGGUAGGGCUCCAUGGGACCAAUGUGAAGAGGCAGGGAGGAGCCCAGAAUCCCUCACUGAGGACUGGAUGGCUAGGGGUUGGGGUCUGAGUUGACAGAAGAGGCUGAGACUAAGCGGCCCCUUUGUUUCAGAAAUCUAGGGUCCCUGGAGGGAGGACUCAGCUUGGGGAGGGGGGAAAGGGAGCUAACAUUACAGAGCACCAACUGUGAGCCAGGCACAAUGCCAGAGACUUCCCAUACCUGUACUCACAACUAGCAGGUGAGGUGUCAGGGUGAAUAGGUGUCUCAUGAGCUCUCAGCAUCUCUCAACACAAUUGACCAACUUCUCCUUUGAUUCUAUGAUUUCUCUGCCAAUUCUUCUACACUCUGGCUGCUCUUUCUCUGUCUCCUUUGCAAGCUCAUCCUCAACUCCUUGGACCCAGCCAAGUCCCCCGAUUAUACACUUUCACGGUACUGUAUUUUCUUCUUUCAGAGCACUUAGAACAGUGAUUUCACACUUAUUUGUGCAGUCAUUUGAAUAAUAAUAAUCCUAUUUCCCCCACCAGAUGGAAAGUUCCACGAGGACAGUGACCACGUCUAUCUGUAUUCACCAAAGUGCUCCCAGUGCCCAGCACAGUGCCUAGCAUAAAGCAACUAUUUGGUAAAUAUUUGUUGGAUGAAUGAAUAAAUGACAAAAGGACAUCCCUCUGGCCUAAACUCAGUUUUUUAUCUACUUCCUCACCCCAGAGUUGAGUCAUCCCCAAUGUAUGGACCAGAGAACAGGGUGCCUGGGAGGUCAGGCCACCUCAUUCUCCCUGGGAGGGGAGAAAUCAAUCAGGACAGGACUAAACCAAGUUUCAGAAUAUGAGGCCCCUACCUUACCAGUGCCUGGACCUGCCUGUAUGCUCUCCAGCUUUUCCAGGGAUGGAGAGAAUUCAAAGUCCCAACAACUCUCCAUGUGGGUCCUGAAAUCACUCAUGAGCUGGAGGAGAGGAGUUCCAUCAGAAAAGGGUGCUCUGAAGAAAACCCCUCUUUUCUGCCUUAGCUGAGACUGCAGAGACCAUCUGUUGCCACUCCUCUGUUUGCUCCUGUCCCAUUCCCCUGGACUUCAGAGAAGGAGAUGGUUUGACCAAGUAGGAGGGAUAGAUGGUGAGAACAAGACAAUCUGCUUGUUCUUUGAAAUGUCUGGAGCGAUAGUGAUGAUCCUCAGCUAGGUGAUUGGAGCAGAGGAACACAGGAGCCAGCAGCCAGUCCUUUGGGGCUGUGGUCUCUAGACCCUGGGAAGCAGGGAAUGGACAAAAUGACCUCUAGGAGGUGCCCAGCCUUCAGCCCAGGGGCUUUAUCUGACAUCUUUGCUGCCCUUGCCAUCCGACCUCAAACAAAAUACCUGAAUCUGCAGGAAGUUAAUGUUACAUCAGGCUUGGCAGCCCCUUCCUCUCCCAGACCACUCCCAAUUCUAGCCAACUGCCCAUCCCAGAGCAUCUCUCCCACCCAGCUUGGCAUCAAUACUCAGUCCUCAUGGUGUCUUUGACCCAGUAGCCUUGUCCUGACAGUGCCCCCCAGCACCCCAGUACCUGGGGUCAUGGAUCUGGAAGCCACUCUAGGCAUUGUUGCUCUCUCUGACCCCACCUGUUCUCUGGGUCCCUAAUGAAGUAGGACAACUCAGGCUCUGGGCCAAGUCCCUAUGUCCUCAUCAAAAGCAACAUCUGUCUCCUCAAAGAAGAUAAGCCUGUGGGGAAGGAGGUGGGACAGGCACAGGGGAGAAACCCCAAUCCUGCCUGGGCCCUCACCCCAAAUUCCACCGCAGGCACAGAUUGAGGGUGAGGGGGGAAGGCAAGACCGCCACAGAGGCCUAUACUCACACAUGCCCCUGUACAAGCCUUCAUGCCUCUGAGCCCCAAAUAUGAGGGCCCCUCCUGGGCUCACCCAGCUACCUGGGCUGCUGCUGCUGCCAAGCCGGCUUUCUUUUAUUCAUGCGUUGUUUUAUUGCUGGCAAAUGCUGCUGCUUGCCGCUGUUAGAGGCGUUCCUGCCAAAUCCAUCCCAACAUCUUGGCCUGGCAUCAGGGCGGCAUGCUAAUGUGGAAAUUUAAAGAGCCGCUCGGCUUUAAAUCGGAAUUUUAAAUGAGCAGCAGUGCUCCAGAGGGACCCAGGCAAAAUCGAACAGUAUCUGAUCCACCCUUCCUAUUCCCACUCCUGUAGCAUCACCCUAGUUCCUCUCACCUCUCCCCUCGACUUGGACACUAGAUGAGGAAGUGGCAUGGUACACACCAGGUCAGAGGAAUUGAUGCAAGAUGGUCAUCCCAGGAGCUGGGAUCCCUCAACUCAAGACCAAGAGGGAAUCCACCAGUUGCUGUCAUGGGCAAAUGGAGGCAGGGAACUUCAACACAAGGGAUCAAGGCUGGGGAUAGUGAAACUAAUAUUCCUACGCCACUUCCCAUUUUACCAGGAAACAAGAAGAGAAGACCCAGAGGAGGAAAGAAGGAAGAUGGAAUUCCAUGAAGACACUCCUGUGCAGUAUACACUUGUGCGCGCUGGGAUAUGUGCAUGCAGGUCAGGAUGCUUGCUGAAGCCCCGUGGAGCAUGUGUACACGCAGCUCACUUAUUACCCAUGCACGGAGAAGAAUUAUUCACAUAUGCAGAGCAGUCUUCCCACAUCCAGACCACUGUCCUAACCAGGUUGGUUUCUGCAAGUUGUUAGCCUGAGCCAUGUUUUUCCAUGAAUCCUAAUGCACCAAUGUUCCCCAGCUCCUGGCAGCUACCUUGAGUCAGCCAUGAUGGUGAUGAAGCGCCACAGCAACUCUGCCAGCAUAGGGGUUAGGGAUACCUGUGCUCAUCCUGUGCACCUG
rnacentral:lncRNA from 1 species